GACGUAGGGCGCGAGCGUUGUCCGGAUUUAUUGGGCGUAAAGAGCUCGUAGGCGGCUUGUCACGUCGGGUGUGAAAGCCCGGGGCUUAACCCCGGGUCUGCAUUCGAUACGGGCUAGCUAGAGUGUGGUAGGGGAGAUCGGAAUUCCUGGUGUAGCGGUGAAAUGCGCAGAUAUCAGGAGGAACACCGGUGGCGAAGGCGGAUCUCUGGGCCAUUACUGACGCUGAGGAGCGAAAGCAUGGGGAGCGAACAGG
rnacentral:rRNA from 1 species